rnacentral:rRNA from 1 species
ACACGGGUUGAUAAAACCGCUUUCUAAAGAGAAAGAACAAAUACCACACUUAUUAUAAACAGUUACCCUGAUCAACGGACAAAAGCUACGCUAGGGAUAACAGGCUAACACGCCCUUAGAGUUCCUAUCGAUGGGCGUACGAGGCACCUCGAUGUUGGAUCAUCGCGUCCUGUAGCUGAAGGAGGUUACAAGGGUUGGAUUGUUCGUCCAUUAAAGCGGUACGUGAUCUGAGUUCAGAACGCCGUGAGGCAGUUCGGUUUCUAUCUUUGUCAGCGUUAGGCUAAAAAGGAGUUUGUUUCAGAUAAACUACGAAAUGCCGAUGCAAAAUUAGCCGCUGGGGGCGAGUACGAAAGGACCAGACCCCUAUGAACCUCUGGUGCACUUGUUGUCAUUUUUACGGCAUAGCAAGAAAGCUAAGUUCUAAAAGGCUAGAUUGCCUCUAUUCCAUAACACCGAAUGACCCCAACUGGUAACAGUUAAGGAUUUUUAUUAUAUACUUUAUAAAACUCCAUGGUCUUUACCUAUAGAUACAAUUCAAAAACCAUUUAUUAUACAA